rnacentral:rRNA from 1 species
GAUCCUGGCUCAGGAUGAACGCUAGCUACAGGCUUAACACAUGCAAGUCGAGGGGCAGCAUGGUCUUAGCUUGCUAAGGCCGAUGGCGACCGGCGCACGGGUGAGUAACGCGUAUCCAACCUGCCUUACACUCUUGGACAGCCUUCUGAAAGGGAGAUUAAUACAAGAUGUUAUCAUGAGUAAGCAUUUUCGCAUGAUUAAAGGUUUACCGGUGUAAAGAGUGGGGAUGUCCGUUCCUA